UUUUGAACUACAGUGUACUCGCUGUGGCAUUCCCCUCCUCCUCGGGUGAUAGAUCCGCAUCGGAAAUCGAAAAUCUUUCGCAUAUGGAUUUCUUUGCCUUCGAUUUCUUAGAAUGCUGUUGAGAUCACGAAAAUGGAGUUCACUGAGGCUUAUAAGCAGACUGGUCCCUGUUGUUUCUCACCCAACGCCAGAUACAUUGCCGUCGCCGUCGAUUAUCGCCUGGUGAUUCGUGAUACGUUGUCGUUUAAGGUUGUGCAGUUGUUUUCAUGCUUGGAUAAGAUAAGCUAUAUUGAAUGGGCCCUUGAUUCAGAAUACAUUCUUUGUGGCCUCUAUAAAAGGCCAAUGAUACAGGCAUGGUCGUUGAGUCAACCUGAAUGGACUUGCAAAAUAGAUGAAGGUCCUGCCGGCAUUGCUUAUGCUAGGUGGAGUCCAGAUAGUCGGCACAUACUCACCACUUCAGAUUUUCAAUUGCGUUUAACUGUUUGGUCACUUGUGAACACAGCAUGCGUUCAUGUGCAAUGGCCAAAACAUGCUUCUAAGGGGAUUUCUUUCACUAAAGAUGGAAAAUUUGCUGCAAUUUGUACGAGGCGUGAUUGCAAGGAUUACAUAAAUCUGCUUUCAUGUUAUACCUGGGAGAUAAUGGGUACUUUUGCUGUGGACACUUUGGACUUGGCCGAUAUUGAAUGGUCACCGGAUGAUAGUGCUAUAGUGAUAUGGGAUUCACCUCUUGAAUAUAAGGUUCUAAUCUAUUCCCCGGAUGGGAGGUGUCUAUUCAAGUAUCAAGCAUAUGAAAGUGGACUAGGUGUAAAAAGUGUCUCAUGGUCUCCCUGUGGCCAGUUUCUAGCUGUGGGUAGCUAUGAUCAAAUGUUGCGGGUGCUGAACCACCUGACCUGGAAAACUUUCGCUGAAUUUAUGCACCUAUCUACUGUACGUGCUCCAUGUUGUGCUGCUGUUUUCAAGGAGGUGGACGAGCCAUUGCAUCUUGAUAUGUCUGAACUAUGUUUGAGUGAUGAAUUUCUCCAAGGCAAUUCUGAUGUUGCAGAAGGACACUUCAGAGUUAGGUAUGAGGUUACAGAAGUGCCUAUUACGUUGCCUUUCCAGAAGCCUCUCGCUGACAAACCAAACCCUAAACAAGGAAUUGGCCUCAUGUCAUGGAGCAGCGACAGCCAGUAUAUCUGUACUCGCAAUGAUAGCAUGCCAACUGCUCUCUGGAUAUGGGACAUACAUCAUCUUGAGCUAACUGCCAUAUUGGUCCAGAAGGAUCCCAUCCGGGCAGCUGCUUGGGAUCCAACAUGCACACGACUUGUUCUAUGUACUGGCAGCUGUCACUUGUAUAUGUGGACUCCUUCAGGUGCCUACUGCAUAAGUAAUCCACUACCACAGUUUAGCAUAACUGAUCUGAAGUGGAAUUCAGAUGGAAGCUGUCUUCUUCUCAAGGACAAGGAGUCAUUUUGCUGUGCUGCCGUGCCCCUAUUGCCAGAAUCUAGUGAAUAUAGCUCAGAUGAUUGAGGUAUCUCCACUCAGCUAGUCUAGAUAUCUGGCAAUUAGCAUAAAGAAAAUGUAUAAAAAAAAAAUGAAAAGGCACUUAGGAUCAACCAAGUAGUUGUGGCUCUCCCCCGUGUCUUGCCAUAAUAUGUUGUAUUUGGGUUUGUUAGGCUCCUUAUAUGUUGUAGUUCAUUACUUUAGUGACCAUUUUGCUGUGUUGUAAAAUUAGAUUGCAUAGUGGCGUUUUUCACCCUAAAAAUUAAGUUUGAGUGGAUGCCUGACUAACUGCCUCAGUAGAACGAUGUGAUCAAAGAGGUGAGUUAUAACAUCUUGCAGAGAACAGUGGCAAUCAGGUUUGGCGGCAACAAACGAGGAGAAAAAGACCAAGACAAAAGACAUUAAUGCCAUCGAUUCAUAGUAUUUUACUCCACUUCAAGCAUUAUUUUAGUCCUUACCAAAGUGUAGCUUGAAGUUUCGGCUAACUUGUUACAAGACAAAUAAACCCAUGAAGUCAAAAGCAUAACAGUAUCUGUGAAAUCCCACGGAGACAACUCUCUCCCAGAAACAAUUCUGGGGGAGGCGGCAAGUAAAUGCCAUUUUGCUUCAACAUUUCAAAUAUUAAAUGAACCACCCUCAAAGUCUUGUUUGUGACGGUUUUUGGGAACAUGUAGAAAGUGAAGAAGAGAUGCUAUUGCCAAUGCCAACAAACAAGCAAAGGUGAGCUGACUUUCAAGUUCAAACAGGAUCGGGACUGGGUCAUAUCUUAGUUAAUUGUGCAACUGUGGUGCGUCGGUAUUACAUUUCUUGGGAUGCUUUCGGCUAGACGUUAAGCGUUUGAUUAAAUAAAUCUCAGAGGAAUCAACUUGCCGCAUGCAAUGUUCCAUACA